CCCUUGCAAGAAGACCCAAGAGUGAAAAAGGUGAAUUGCACCUUUAUUGUGGAUAUCAGACCAUGGUUUUCCCAGUUCUCCCUCUUGAACAGCACGUGUGUGUAGAAAUAGGCUGGGAAGGAGCCCCUGGAUCCUCAAGCAGAAGUUCCUUUUCCUCCAGAGAGUGACAGUCAGUCUGCAUGUACUCCCAUGUCUAUUCAGCACCAGGAGAAUUAAAGGCAUCUCAGAGCACUUUA